rnacentral:pre_miRNA from 1 species
AGUGGGAUAACUGGGUUAAAUGGUGAUUCCAUUCCAAGUUUUCUGAGGAAUCUCCAUACUGCUUUCCAGUGUGAAUGCACCAAUUUGCAGUCCCACCAGCAAU